GGCUGAUUAUAACAUCCAGAAAGAGUCGACCCUUCACCUUGUCCUGCGUCUUCGUGGUGGGUUCUGAGUAGUUUCUAUGUUUCUACUAUGAAUUUGUGGUGUCUGGGAGUUCUAAAUUAUUGGGUCUCUCUUAUUUUCAGAUGUGAUGUGUGAUUGGCCUUUGCAAGGCCUUGUGAAUAAUGUUUGUAUUUUCCUUAUCGUUUAUUAAAUAAAAAUUCAUCUAUUUCUGUUCGAUUCAUUUGUGGUUUAUUGUACUGCUGUUUGAUUUUAGAAUGUAAAGCUCCUUGGUUAGAGUUUAUUUCAAAAAAAAAAAAAA
rnacentral:misc_RNA from 1 species